AUUGAACGCUGGCGGCAGGCCUAACACAUGCAAGUCGAGCGAGCGGCGGACGGGUGAGUAAUGUAUGGGGAACUGCCCGAUGGAGGGGGAUAACUACUGGAAACGGUAGCUAAUACCGCAUACUAUCGGAUGAACCCCUAUGGGAUUAGCUAGUAGGUGGGGUAAAGGCUCACCUAGGCGACGAUCUCUAGCUGGUCUGAGAGGAUGAUCAGACACACUGGAACUGAGAAACGGCCCAGACUCCUACGGGAGGCAGCAGUGGGGAAUAUUGCACAAGGGGCGCAAGCCUGAUGCAGCCAUGCCGCGUGUAUGAAGAAGGCCUUAGGGUUGUAAAGUACUUUCAGCGGGGAGGCGUUACCCGCAGAAGAAGCACCGGCGAACUCCGUGCCAGCAGCCGCGGUAAUUC
rnacentral:rRNA from 1 species